UUCGUUGUGGGAUUACCUGUAACAGGGCUCUAGGUGGUGUGGCAUUAGUGGCUGCUCUUUCCAGUGCAGUGGGAUUUUGCAGUUUUGAAACCAGGAGGUCUGAAGAGGAAUAUCUUGCUCCCACCACUGAGCAUCUUCCUGGACAGGCUUUUUCACUGGAAAGCAGUUUUCACAGUUCAAAGCAUCCAGCAUGUGGAAGCUCAGAAGUAGGGAGUUAUUACUGGUUUCUCUAUGGCCUAGUCUGUUUAGGACAACUAGCAGUGCUUUGCUGCAUCCUGGAAGAGAUUAACUUAAUUUACCUCAAGAUAAAGGAGGUUUGGAUGGAGGUUUGCAGAGGAGUUUGGAUGAGAGAGAGAGAAGCAGUUGAAUUCAAGAUGUGUUGCCCCUAAGAUAGUAUGGAAGGUCUGGAUGGUGAUCCCCUCUCUGGAAUGAAGCAAUGUUGGUGUUCAUAGCAACUAUGUGAGAUUAUAGCUGAGCUAUUUGAGAUUAUAUAAAUGCAUUCACUGAAGAUCCACUUCCCACAUCUCCCAAAGUGAUCAGGAAACCUGUUACUUCCCAAAACUGCUACUGAAGUCACUGCUGCUGUUAGAUCACAGGGGCUAUGUUCUUCAAAUUGAAGUGUCCUUCACUUUAAAUAUGAUCUUUGGGGGCUGCCCAAAAUGUGACUCAUUUCUUCACAGUUUUUCAAAAAUUGCUGCCUCUUUGUUAGCAGAUACCCAUCUUUCUGCUAAAUAAGCCAAGGGUUCUCUUAGCUGUGGUAACUGUGCAGAGUAAAUCACCCUUUGGCCCCUGGAUGCAUCAACCUUUCGCCUCUAACCAUGAAGUAAUUGAAGGAACAGCACAGGAAAGCCUGCAUUCUUGGACUUUGGAGAGGGAACAUCUUUGCCAAGAAACUCUUUCAGGAGAUAAUUUAAGGAAAAUGAGCACCAAAGAAUGGAAAUUACGGGAUUGAAUUCGCUCAAUUCAAAUGGAAAAUGUCUUCAUGGUUUCUACCCAGCAGACCCAAAGAGGCAAUCCUGCCUGAUGACAUCUGUGGGGAGACAUUUGGUCAGAGGAAUCACAUAUCAUUGUGUAAAUAAUCAAGUCUGUCCUCUCCAACCCCAAAAUAUUCUGUUUCCUUCGGAGAAUGGGGGAUUUGAGCUUCCCCAGGAGACAGGUCACUCACUGCCUUUUGCAUUGGCUGCGAUUUGGGCUUUCGAAGUGGGAGAUUUUUCACCUCUUUCUUUGCACGUGAGCAGUGGACCAUUACUUUUGCAGUGCCUCACCAAGGGGAGAGGGCUGAUGCUGGCACCCUUGGCCUGCAAGCAGAGAUGCCAGUGGCUAAGGAAGCCUGAAAUCAAGAGGGCUGCAAAAUCAGUGUCAACUGAAGCAGAGGCCCGCCCAGGCAAGCAGUGAGCAGAGAAAGGACAGCAUUAGCAUCACAUGGAACACUGAGGAGCCUUGGAGAAACCACCAUCUCUCCUCAUGAGCAAACCAACAGAAGUGACUAUAUGUCCCAUCCUGCACUGGGACUGAAAAUGACCUAUGCUUAUUUUGUGAGGUUGAAGUUAACCUGCAGCCAGACCUCCAGUCUGACACAGAUUUCACUAUAGAAAGUUAAAUUUAUACACAGUCUUAAUGGAAAUACUUCAUGCGCAAGGACGGAAACCAGGCGAAAGUAUGCUGAAAUCACAAGAGCUUCUCUAGGGUCAAUCAAAUGGGAUUGGUCCCACAGGUCCCUCUGUACCUGGUGGAAGGAGAAGCAUCUUUAAAAUGGAGAAGGGACGUAAACAGCAAUAAAAUUGGAUGAAAAAUUCAGCAGAAGUGCAAUGCUUGAAACAUAAUUUUAUUUCUAAAACUGACUGGACAGAAUCUAGGUGGGAAACGUGUGGAGAAAGUAGGAAGCAGCCCUCAUCCUUGAGGACAUGUUCAAACAUAUCUUCUAGGUCACUUACUGCUGCCCUAAUCAUUGGAGUUAAAGAUUAUUCUGAAGAGAGGAAGAAAGAGGAAGUUUCAUUUAAAUACCAUAUGGAUAAAUGAAUGCUAUUACCUCCCUCAUUCCUCGAUGUGUGUUUUUUUUAUCAAAAUACAGCUACUGUAGCCUUUGCUUAUCCUAAUUCAACCACAGACUAAAUAGAAAAAACUCUAUUUGCCCUUCCAGACUUGCACAGCAGUAGAAAUACUCUACAAAUAUUAGCUGCAAAAAUUACAAUGGGGGAAUUUUUAUUACUAAUUAAAUAACCACUUUAUGGAAAAGCAGUGUGAAAUUACAUCACGUGUAAAAUGUGUUUAGUAAAAGCAGUUACUACAAUUAAUAAACAGUUUUGUUACAGAUCUUUUUCAUUGGGCUAGAAUUAAUUUAAAGUCCUUUAAGUCCUUUCCCUAUAUUGUCUGACAGUACAAUGCAACAGUUAAUUAGUGACACCGUUAACUGAUUUUAUUGUAUGCUAACUUAAAAGAAACAGUUAUGGAAUUGUAAAGUAGAGAAGUGUAUGUCCACAUGUUGCUACAGUAGCUGUCUUUGAGAUGAUAGCAUUUAGAUAUCAAGAAAAUCAAUUAGAAACAAGCACUGAAGAGAGUAAUUUCCAGUGAUGUCUUAGUAUUUUUUUUCUCUUUUCUCUAUGUGCAAGCACAUAACAAAGUUGUUCAUUGCUUUUGCUUCUCCCACCCUGUUGUUACAAACUGUUGUGUGAAAUCCUGUUCUGAAAUUCUCCUUUUCCCCUGGUGUUUCAAUGAGAGUAAUUGAUCUCCUGGCCUUCUCCGAGGGGGACUGUGCUAGCAAAGCAGGCUCUCCUCAUGUUAUUUUAGGAGAAUUAUUUAUGGGAAAAGAGCUAAGGAAAUAGGGUAAUUACUAAGGACUUGGGAAUGGGGAAAGAUGAACAGAGCUAGAGGUUGUAAAUUAGAUAAAGAAUGGGACUGAAGGAAAUAAAAACACACAGCAAAUCCCGGGAUCCGGUUCUGCUCUUGCUUCACACCAGUUUGCUGUCACUGACCUAAACACUUCUACAUAGCUGUAAGGGGAGUUCAGAGUCUGUGUUCUUACUGCACGUAACAGUCCGAGCAAAAAAAUAGAUCUGGGAAAAAUAAUAAAAUUGUGAAUAUUGUGGCAGAUUCCCAACUGACAGUAAAUUACACAAAUCUCAGAGUUCAACAGGGCUGAUGUGAUUUGGGCUUUAGGAGGGUGUGGUGUGUUUAAUUUUUUUGGGUAUUAUGGAUAACUGAUAAUUAUGUUACUAAACUUGUUUCAUUAUUUUGUGUGUGACUUGCUAUUUUGGGGAUGUAAAAAUACUGUAUAUAUUUAGCUAAACCCAAUACAGAAAUACCCAUCAGAUUGUCUCUAUUUGCUGAACUUAUGCUGCCACAAAAUGGGCACAAAUCUCAGUUUGGUGUUCAGGUUCUUUGAAAUAAAUCACCACAUUGCAA